rnacentral:rRNA from 1 species
UCGAGAGUUUGAUCCUGGCUCAGAUUGAACGCUGGCGGAAUGCUUUACACAUGCAAGUCGAACGGUAGAGGGGGCAACCCCUCGAGAGUGGCGAACGGGUGAGUAAUAUAUCGGAACGUGCCCAGUCGUGGGGGAUAACGUAGCGAAAGUUACGCUAAUACCGCAUACGAUCUACGGAUGAAAGCGGGGACUCGCAAGAGCCUCGCGCGAUUGGAGCGGCCGAUAUCAGAUUAGAUAGUUGGCGAGGUAACGGCUCACCAAGUCUACGAUCAUUAGCUGAUGUGAGAGCAUGAUCAGCCACACGGGGCACUGAGACACGGGGCCCGACUCCGUACGGGAGCAGCAGUAGGGAAUAUGGUCAAUGGACGCAAGUCUGAUCCAGCCAUUCCGCGU